rnacentral:rRNA from 1 species
UACAGAGGGUGCAAGCGUUGUUCGGAAUUAUUGGGCGUAAAGCGCGUGUAGGCGGCUUGGCAAGUCAGAUGUGAAAGCCCUCGGCUUAACCGAGGAAGUGCGUCUGAAACUGCUGAGCUUGAGUGUCGGAGAGGAUGGCGGAAUUCCGCAAGUAGAGGUGAAAUGCGCAGAUAUCAGGAGGAACACCAGCGGCGAAGGCGGCGCUCUGGGCUGGAACUGACGCUGAGGAGCGAAAGCUAGGGGAGCAAACAGG